GUGUCAGCAGCCGCGGUAAGACGUAGGGUCCAAGCGUUGUCCGGAUUUACUGGGCGUAAAGAGCACGUAGGCGGCUUGUUAAGUGUGAAGUGAAAUCUCCAGAGCUCAACUCGGAAACCGCUUCGCAUACUGGCAAGCUAGAGGAAUGCAGAGGUAAGUGGAAUUCCUGGUGUAGCGGUGAAAUGCAUAGAUAUCAGGAGGAACACCCAUGGCGAAGGCAGCUUACUGGGCAUUAUCUGACGCUGAGGUGCGAAAGCGUGGGGAGCAAACAGGAUUAGAUACCCUUGUAGUCC
rnacentral:rRNA from 1 species